UGCGCAGGCGGAAUAUUAAGUCAGUGGUGAAAUCUUACGGCUCAACCGUAAAACUGCCAUUGAUACUGAUAUUCUUGAGUAUAGUUGUAGUGGGCGGAAUAUAUCAUGUAGCGGUGAAAUGCUUAGAUAUGAUAUAGAACACCGAUCGCGAAGGCAGCUCACUAGACUAUAACUGACGCUCAGGCACGAAAGCGUGGGGAGCAAACAGGAUUAGAUACCCUGGUAGUCC
rnacentral:rRNA from 1 species